GAUGAACGCUGGCGGCGUGCUUAACACAUGCAAGUCGAACGGAGAAAGGGUAGCUUGCUAUCUUUUCUUAGUGGCGGACGGGUGAGUAACGCGUGGGUAACCUGCCCUUUGCAGGGGGAUAACAGUGAGAAAUCACUGCUAAUACCGCAUACCAACUUCUUUCGCAUGAAAGAAGUUUGAAAGAUUUAUCGGCAAAGGAUGGACCCGCGUUGGAUUAGCUAGUUGGUGAGAUAACAGCCCACCAAGGCAACGAUCCAUAGCCGGCCUGAGAGGGUGAACGGCCACACUGGGACUGAGACACGGCCCAGACUCCUACGGGAGGGCAGCAGUGGGGAAUAUUGCACAAUGGGCGAAAGCCUGAUGCAGCGACGCCGCGUGAAGGAUGAAGGUCUUCGGAUUGUAAACUUCUAUCAGCAGGGAAGAAAGGGCCUAUGGCCUAUGACGGUACCUGACUAAGAAGCCCCGGCUAACUACGUG
rnacentral:rRNA from 1 species